rnacentral:rRNA from 1 species
AGUGAACGCUGGCGGCGUGCUUAACACAUGCAAGUCGAACGAGAACGGGUUAUAGCUUGCUAUAAUUGUCAGCUAAGUGGCGCACGGGUGAGUAAUGUAUAGGUAAUAUGCCUCUUACUAAGGGAUAACAAAUGGAAACGUUUGCUAAUACCUUAUACUCCUUAUUAACAGAAGUUAAUAAGGGAAAGAUUUAUUGGUAAGAGAUUAGCCUGUAUUGUAUCAGUUAGUUGGUGGGGUAAUGGCUUACCAAGACUAUGACACAUAACUGGUUUGAGAGGACGAUCAGUCACACUGGAACUGAGACACGGUCCAGACUCCUACGGGAGGCAGCAGUGGGGAAUAUUGCACAAUGGACGAAAGGCUGAUGCAGCAACGCCGCGUGGAGGAUGACACAUUUCGGUGCGUAAACUCCUUUUAUAUGAGAAGAUAAUGACGGUAUUAUAUGAAUAAGCACCGGCUAACUCCGUGCCAGCCGCCGCCGUAA